GGAUUUAUUGGGCGUAAAGGGCUCGUAGGUGGUUGAUCGCGUCGGAAGUGUAAUCUUGGGGCUUAACCCUGAGCGUGCUUUCGAUACGGGUUGACUUGAGGAAGGUAGGGGAGAAUGGAAUUCCUGGUGUAGCGGUGGAAUGCGCAGAUAUCAGGAGGAACACCGAUGGCGAAGGCAGGUCACUGGCCCACUACUGACGCUGAGGAGCGAAAGCAUGGGGAGCGAACAGGAUUAGAUACCCUGGUAGUCCAUGCCGUAAACGUUGGGCACUAGGUGUGGGGCUCAUUCCACGAGUUCCGCGCCGCAGCUAACGCAUUAAGUGCCCCGCCUGGGGAGUACGGCCGCAAGGCUAAAACUCAAAGGAAUUGACGGGGGCCCGCACAAGCGGCGGAGCAUGCGGAUUAAUUCGAUGCAACGCGAAGAACCUUACCAAGGCUUGACAUACACCGGAAUCGGCCAGAGAUGGUCGCGUCUUCGGACUGGUGUACAGGUGGUGCAUGGUUGUCGUCAGCUCGUGUCGUGAGAUGUUGGGUUAAGUCCCGCAACGAGCGCAACCCUCGUCCUAUGUUGCCAGCACGUCAUGGUGGGGACUCAUAGGAGACUGCCGGGGUCAACUCGGAGGAAGGCGGGGACGACG
rnacentral:rRNA from 1 species